UACGGAGGGGACUAGCGUUGUUCGGAAUUACUGGGCGUAAAGCGCACGUAGGCGGAUUUGUAAGUCAGGGGUGAAAUCCCGGGGCUCAACCUCGGAACUGCCUUUGAUACUGCAAAUCUCGAGUCCGGAAGAGGUGAGUGGAAUUCCUAGUGUAGAGGUGAAAUUCGUAGAUAUUAGGAAGAACACCAGUGGCGAAGGCGGACUCACUGGUCCGGUACUGACGCUGAGGUGCGAAAGCAUGGGGAGCGAACAGG
rnacentral:rRNA from 1 species